rnacentral:tRNA from 1 species
GUGGACAUAGUUUAACUAAAACAUUAGGCUGUGGCUCUAACAAUGAAGACUCAUCCCCUUCUGUUCACC